GCUCUUCUAGUAUAAUAAUUACAAUUGACUUCCAAUCUCUAAAAUCCGGUAAAACCCCGGAGAAGAGCA
rnacentral:tRNA from 1 species